GUUUGACGAGCAUGUGAACUUGGGCCCUAGCCAUUCGGAUCCUUGUAGUGCGGAUUGGCUAUAGUAGGUUCAUUUUGAAAUAGGGUUGCAUCUAGAUGGGAUCUAUUGAUCUUGAUAGAUUAGGAGUGAUCCUAUGUGAUUUAUGAGACUGAGUUCGAUAAAUUUCUGGCCAGCUAUUUUGGAAAAAGAGUUUUCUAUAUCUCGAUCUGGAAGUCGAAUAAAUUUAACAUAUGACGGACGAUGGAGUUUGACGAGAUAUCCAUAACCUCCGUCACGUCGGGAUCUAUGAUAGAGGGAUUGUAUUAUAUGCUAACUACACCUAGAGGUUUAGACAUUCUAUUUUGCUGGGUUGCCACCACAUACUGCUAGGUGUCGCUAGUGGAUUGUGAGACUCGAAGGCAUUCACUUGGUGAUCAGUGAACCCUAAGAGUAGAACUGAAAUUGUUUCAGUCCACUGAAGGAGUUUCAGUGAUAUUGAGAUGGAGAUCUCAAUAUGUCUCACUACCAGUCAGAAUAGAACCUACGGGAUCACACACAUAGAGGAUUUAAUUAGUCAGACUAUCAUAAUUUUGUUUUGGAAUCAC
rnacentral:lncRNA from 1 species